GACCGCGUAGCUCAGUUGGCAGAGCAUUGGACUAGUAUCCCAAAGGUCGCAGGUUCAAUUCCCACCGUGGCCA
rnacentral:tRNA from 1 species